AGAUUUGAAUGAUUUGCUUGCUGAUAGUGGCGACACAAAACAGCAGGAAAAUGGCUUGUUGUGGUUUCUUUUCCAAAUCUCUUAUGUCCAUCAUGAGGACUUCUACCUUCUGUUCUUCUCCGCCACUCGCCGCCCGUCGCAUCCGUCCUCUCCCAUUAUUCGCCUCUUGCCGUUUCUCCUUCUCCAAUCCUAGGUCCCAAAUCCCAAUUUUGAUUUCUUUUUUUCUUAGUAUCGACAUGGGGUUGUAUACUUUCUCUGUUAAAAUGAAGAUUCGAAAUCUUAGAAAAUGGAACUGGUUUUGUUCUAAUUUUCUAGCCCUCUUUCAGGUCUUCUGGGUUUCAAACGUUGGGUUCUGAAAAGAAAUUUU
rnacentral:lncRNA from 1 species